AACGAACGCUGGCGGCAUGCCUAACACAUGCAAGUCGAACGAGCCCUUCGGGUCUAGCUGCGCACGGGUGCGUAACGCGUGGGAACCUGACCUUAGGUUCGGCAUACCUCCACGCAAGGGGUACCAAUACAGGAUAAUGUCUUCGGACCAAAGAUUUAUCGCCCUCGGGUGGGCCAGCGUUGGAUUAGCUAGUGGGUAGGGUAAAAGCCUACCACGGCGACGAUCCAUAGAUGGUCUGAGAGAAUGAUCAGCCACACUGGGAGUGAGACACGGCCCAGACUCCUACGGGAGGGAGCAGUGGGGAAUAUUGGACAAUGGGCGAAGGCCUGAUCCAGCAAGGCCGCGUGAGUGAUGAAGGCAUUAGGGUUGUAAAGCUCUUUUAACCGGGAGGAUAAUGACAGUACCGGGAGAAUAAGCGCCGGCUAACUCCGUG
rnacentral:rRNA from 1 species